rnacentral:rRNA from 1 species
AUUGAACGCUGGCGGCAGGCCUAACACAUGCAAGUCGAGCGGUAGCACAGGAGAGCUUGCUCUCCGGGUGACGAGCGGCGGACGGGUGAGUAAUGUCUGGGAAACUGCCUGAUGGAGGGGGAUAACUACUGGAAAUGGUAGCUAAUACCGCAUAACGUCGCAAGACCAAAGAGGGGGACCUUCGGGCCUCUUGCCAUCAGAUGUGCCCAGAUGGGGUUAGCUAGUAGGUGGGGUAACGGCUCACCUAGGCGACGAUGCCUAGCUGGUCUGAGAGGAUGACCAGCCACACUGGAACUGAGACACGGUCCAAACUCCUACGGGAGGCAGCAGUGGGGAAUAUUGCACAAUGGGCGCAAGCCUGAUGCAGCCAUGCCGCGUGUAUGAAGAAGGCCUUCGGGUUGUAAAGUACUUUCAGCGGGGAGGAAGGUGUUGUGGUUAAUAACCACAGCAAUUGACGUUACCCGCAGAAGAAGCACCGGCUAACUCCGUGCCAGCCGCCGCUGUAAUAC